rnacentral:misc_RNA from 1 species
GAUGAAGAACGUAGCGAAAUGCGAUAAGUAAUGUGAAUUGCAGAAUUCAGUGAAUCAUCGAAUCUUUGAACGCACCUUGCGCCCUUUGGCCAUUCCGAAGGGCAUGCCUGUUUGAGUAUCAUGAACACCUCAACUCUUCAUGGUUUUCCAUGAUGAGCUUGGACUCUGGGGGUCUUGCUGGCUUUACGGUCAGCUCCUCUCAAAUAAAUCAGCUUGCCGGUGUUUGGUGGGAUCACAGGUGUGAUAACUAUCUACGCUUGUGGUUUUCCGCCAGGUAACCUUCAGCAAUGGAGGUUCGCUGGAGCUCAUAAAUGUCUCUCCUCAGCGAGGACAGAUUUUGACCGUUUGAUCUCAAAUCAGGUAGGACUACCCGCUGAACUUAAGCAUAUCAAUAAGCGGAGGA